rnacentral:lncRNA from 1 species
GAAACACCUUUAUUCUUCUCUACAAAGACUAAGUCUGUGAGGUCCAGUGAAUCUUGGAGCUGUGUGUGUGGGUGUUUCCCUGAAGGAGUUUCCAGUGAAAUAGAUACAGCUGAGCUGACUGCAGCACUUCUUUCUAGAGCAGAGCUGUCAAGAGGAUGAAUGAAUACUAUGGUGCUGCUUGGUGCCCACUUCAGAGAGGCAAUCCUGUUCCUCUUAGUCAGUAGCAUGACGUUUUCUUCUCUGAACUGAACUGGAUUUGUAAGCCCUUAAUGUU